CGGGAAGUAAGAGUAGGUUCAAGAGUUACAUUUAGUGGAAUCACAGAAGUGGAAGAUCAAGAGCCUUACUACGUUACAGUAGAGAAUGAUCAAGCCGAUGGCUCCUCUGAGAGCAACACAGAAGUUGAGGCUUAUGAGACCAUUGAAAAAUAUAAAUCCUCAAUAACUGGGAUACAGCAGGCCCUUGAGAUGGAGGUUCACAGAGGAAGAGCAGACAGCAGUAGUAGCAGCUCACUACAGGAAGGGGAAGUUAAUUCUUUAGUCAUAAAUGGUAAGAAGCUACCACACUGCUCAACCGAAGACAUGGAAUUUGAGCCAAUUCCAGAUGCAGAUGAUAUUACCCAGUUAAAGAGAAGGGGCAGUUCUUCAACAUCAUCUCAGUCAAGUCAGGAAGGUAACUUCUCAAGACAAACUGAACAAUGUGUUGACCCUCCUGCUGUCACUAUACCGGCAAACAAAAACACAAUAGGUAGAAUUCCAGGAUUUAGUACAGAGCCGUUUUCAGAAUGGUCAAACAGACUGACAGAACAGAAUGUUGAUAAUUUGGACCCAGAGUUGUGGAAUGACAGUGGAGAAAGCUUUUCUUUCACUGAAGGCUCUGAAAGGUCAAGUAUCUGGGAUCUCUCCAGCUCUGCUUUAGGACACCCACUGAAGGAUGAUGACACAUGGAGGCAAAGCAAAGUAGAAUCACCUUCAAACAAAAUAAACCUGGAUUCAGAGGUUCUUGAUUUCGACAAACCUUUUGGUAAAGAACUUCCUGUUGAUGAUGUAAAGCAGUUUGAGCUCUUUGACACAGUAAGCUCCUCUAAUUCAAGUGAAAGUGGUGAAAGUGUAGGUGGACCAAACAAUUAUGUUGUAAACCCAGAGUUAAUGGAUGAAUCCGACACAGAGGACUAUGCAAACUUGGCCACUUUAAAAAGAUUUGAAGAUGUCACCUUAAAUAAAAGAAUGCCUAGUGCUGGCAUUCUUAUAAGACAAGAGACUAUCACUCUGGAGCCAUCAGACAAACAUUUGACACUUACUCAUGGAGACAGUGUUGAUGAGAGUAUGCAUAUUUAUGACUUCCCAAGAAAGAGUGAAGAUGACAAAUUUGGGAUAUGUGUAGAUGUGGGUCUUGAUACAGUGCCAAGGAUUAAAAGGUAUGUUGAAUUUAAACAGUUCAAACCUCAUUUUGGACGUCCAACUCUGCCAUCAUUUUCUCCUACCUCAACAAAGAAGAACAACACCUUAUCAGAUAUUGAAGUGAAAUCUGAAGCUAACACUGAUGCAUUCUCUGGAGACAACAAAUGCUUAACACAAAUAGAGGUUUCUCCUGAUAGAAUUCAAAAAGUGAAGAGAUACAUUCACUUCAAGCAGCCUGAACCUCAUUCCCCAACUCUGUCAUCAUCACCUUCCUUCAACAAAAAAGAUGAUAUGCUGGAAGCAAAAAGUUAUAGCUCAUCCUCAGAUGAUGAUGCUGAACUGACAACUAAAGGUGACAAUUUUGAUGUAUCUUCUGAUGGAGUUUCAAAAGUAAAAAGAUAUAUUUUAUUUAAACAGAUUGAAUCUUCUUCCCCAACUCUGUCAGUAUCCAGACCUAAAACUGAGACCACAACUGAGCAAGCAAUAAAAUCUUUGCAACCAAGCACCACACCUAAAGAUACAAGUCAAAAUGUGAAGAAAUACCUGUAUAUUAAUCAGCAUAAACAGCAUUCCUCAUCUCUGCCAUCAUCACCUACUUCUACCAUAAAAGGUUUAUCAGGAAAAAAGUCUAAACGCAAAAAACAACAAGAUCAAUCAUACUAUGGAACUUAUGAUAGUCUGCCACUAUACCAUGUCCAUCCUGUCUAUAGGUCAAGUAUAAACAGACUCAAUAGAGGCUAUGAUACUGACAGAUCGUCUUCCAGUGAAGAAGAGGAUGAAUUUUUGGAGUACCCAACAAAAUUAGAGAUUACAAUCGCACCUGGGGUAAACAGAGGACCCAUCACACCAGAUAAGAACACAGACAAAGUCCUCAACAUUGACUUUGAUAACUCCUCCAGCAGCACAGAUGUAUUUGACAAGAAACGGUCUAAAGGUUUAAUGAGAUUAAGAGCAUUAAGUGCACAACUGUUCAACAGACAUGAACAUGAACCAGAUGAGGGCAAUCUUCAAUCACAAGUUCAAACUAAGUCAAAAACUAAGGUGACCACUAAUGAAGCUAAUCUCUUUGGAAAAGGUUUAUCCCUUGAUUAUUUACCAAAAGUGAAGAGAUACCUUCAGUUUUCACACUCCGACUCCUAUCCUCAAGUCCAAUUACCAUCUCCUCCACUAACGACUGGGGUAGUCAUGCCUGAAUUUUUAGCGACAACUGAGUCCAGGAGAUCUAGUUUCUCCUCUGAGGAUGAUGUCAAACAAACCACUGAAGAUAAAAAUUUUGUUGGACAAGUUGAUGCAUCUUAUGACACACUUCCAAAAGUAAAAAGAUAUAUUCAAUUCUCAAACGCUGAACCUUGUUUGACAACACUGCCCUUGAACAAAGAAAGUAUAUCACCUGAACUAGUGGCACAACCCGAAUCAAGGAGAUCAAGUACGUCAUCUGAUGAUGAUAUCAAACUUACAACCAAUGAAGACAGUUUCUUUAGGAAGAUAGGUGUAUCUCUCGAUACAGUGCCGAAUGUUAAAAGAUACAUUCAAUUCAAUCAGCCAAAACCUUACACUCCAACUCUAACAUCUUCACCUAUUUCAACCAAGAGGCCUGAGGCAGUAGUGGAGACAAGUUCCAGCAAAUCUGUCAAGUUGGAUGACAAAUCUGAUGCUACAGAAAACAAUUUUUGGGGGCAAAUAAAUCUUGAUGCGGUAUCAAAGGUUAAGCGAUAUGUUCAAUUUACACAGUCCAAACAUCAUUCUCCAACUCUGCCGUCAGUUUCAUCCUCUACAAAAGUCACAAUUGAUAUGGCAGUGAAACCUGAAGCUACAAUUGACAGAUCCUCUGGAGACCAGGGUUAUUUAAUGCAAACAGAGUUAUCCCCUGAAAAUAUUCAAAAAGUGAAAAGAUACAUUCACUUCAAGCAGUCUGAACCUCAUUCCCCAACUCUGCCAUCACCACCUUCCUUAACUAUGAAAGAUGCUAUACAGGAAACAAGGAGAUGUAGCUCAUCAUCAGAUGAUGAUCAACGGACAAACAAGGAAGACAAUUUCUUAAGGAAAAUAGGUGCAUCUUCUGAUGGAGUAUCAAAAGUAAAAAGAUUCAUCACAUUUAAAGAGUCUAAACCUUCUUCCCCAACACUAUCAAUAUCCAGUCCUACUGUCACAACUGAGGCAGUAAAGUCUAUGCUCACUAGCACCUCUAAAGAUGAUGUCAGAUCUCAGAAUGCCAGUGAUCAUUUCUUUGGUAAAAUAGAUGUAUCUUUCGAUGGUGUGCCAAAAGUAAAGCAAUAUCUUAAGUUUAAGGAGACUGAACUUCUUCCACAACACAUUCAGUCAACAUCUUCACCUUCAACCUCAGGAGUAGUUAAACAAGGGAAAGUGGAAAGCAAAUUCUUUGGAGAAAUCGGUAUUUCUCUUGAUAGAGUACCACAAGUAAAGAGAUAUAUUCAAUUUAAACAGCCUGUAUCUCAUCUUCCAGUAGUGUCACCCACCACUUCAAAUACACUGCAAGUCAAAACUGAGGUGAAAACCAAAUCUGAAGCAAAGAGAUCGAGUACUUCUUCUGAGGAUGAUGUCAAACAAACAGCCAAUGUCUCUGGACAAACAGGUUCUCUUGAUAGAGUACCAAGAGUUAAAAGAUACAUUCAAUUCACACAUCCUGAAAUUCAAUCUACAGCUCAGACAACAACUGGUCUCUCAUCUGAAAGAGUCAAUGUAACUAUUGUAGCUAAAGAAACAAGGAGAUGGAGCACUUCAUCUGAGGAAGAUGUUAAACCGACUAGUAAAACAGAGAAUAUCACUGAAGAAACGAGUGAAUAUCUUGCCAAAAUCCCAAAAGUAAAGAGGUACAUUAAGUUCACACAAUCUAAACCAUACUCCUCAAAUCUGUCACAAUUUCGUCCUUUAACCAUGGAAAAAUCCACAAAGUUUACGGAAACUGAACUGAAACAACCAGCCACUAGGGAGAGCACUUCAUCUGAGGAUGAUGUUCAGGAAGACAGUGGCUCUGGGAAAAUAGGAGUGUCUCUUAACGUAGUACCAAGAGUUAAGAGAUACAUUCAAUUCACACAUCCUGAAAGUCAAUCCCCUGCUCAGUCAACAUCUGCUGUCUCAGCUCAAAGACUUGGAACAUUGGGGGUAGUUCAAGACACAAGGAUAUCAAGCACUUCAUCUGAGGAAGAUGUCACACUAAGUGCUAAGGAAGACAAUGUCUUUGGACAUACUGGAGCAUCUCUUGACAAAUUUCCAAAGGUUAAGAGAUAUAUUCAAUUCACAAAGCGUGUAAGUGAACCCCUUGUUCGGACAACAACUGCUCUCUCAG
ensembl:lncRNA